UAGAAGGGGGGACCAGGCAUGGUGGCA
rnacentral:piRNA from 1 species